UUGGUAUUUUAUGAUUUAUCACUUGUUGUUUGUAUGUUAUGAUUAAUGAUUGCAACUAUGACUAAUGAUCUAUGACCGAUCACUUUGUUGUUUGCAUGUACACUAAGAGCUAAUGCACUGGAGACAAAUUCCUGGUGUGUCCAAUCACAUUUGGCCAAUAAAGAAUUCUAUUCUAUUCUGUAUCUGCCGCUCUCCCAAACUCUCAGGUAUAGUUUUGUAACAGCCCAUGCUUAUCUCCAAAACAGUCACUGCACUGCAAGUUCAAUCUCCCAUUGGAAGGCUCUAUGUCCUUCCCCUGUAACCUGAUUUAUCAUUGGCCAACUAAAAGUCCCCAAAUCUGUGCUGGACCACCACAACACAAUUGUGGCUUGCCCGAUGUGUCUAGGACUGUGUUUUUCAAACUUGGCAACUUUAAGAAGUGAGGAUCUCAACUCCUAGAAUUCCCCAGGCAGCAAGUCUGAAAAACAACGGCCCAGGGGGUGGGGAAUGUCAAACAGUUGGGAAGCAAGGAUUGAUGGGAAUUCCUACCAAAUAGGAUUUUAGCCCACUCCCCCAGGCUUUCAAGGAGCUUCAGCUUCUGAAAUGACAAAAUUUUGCCAUUUGAGAUUUUAGGCAGUUCAGACAAAAUAAUAUUAGCUCCAUUGCUCUACAAUGGCCAAAUUCUUGAUGCCGGUGUCCUCAGCUGAACUUUCAUAAAUAUGGUUUCUCUCAAAUAAUUGAAACUGCAUAUUUUAAAUGGUUUUCCCCCAGUCCUCAUGAUUAAGACAUGGGAGCUGCCAUUCCAAGAAUUCUCAGCCUGAAGCUAUCCUGGCUAAGAAUUCUAGAUCUAACCCACCUGGAAAGUAUCAGGUUGCAAAAGGCUGUUUUACUAACAUUCCACACAAUACCACAGUUUUGUAACGAUCAAGCAUUUACUUGCCAAAUGGAAAUGAACUGUGUUAAAUAACUUUCAAAAUCGUUGAUUCUAUAUGAACCAAAUAAGCUACCAGUAGUAAAAUUAGGAUCAAAGAUAAAUUGGUGUUUUAGAAGGAGCUGGAAAGAAUUAAAGAAUCAAGAAGAAAAGCACUGAGAUAGAGGUAGAACAUUAAAAAAGAGAGAAAGAACGGGAUAGAAAAGGAUGAAAGAGUACAUAUGUAGGAUGAGGUUUUUAAAAGCUAGGCUAAUUAUUCUUUAUUUUCCCUAUAAACAAGAGACAUCCAUACAGAGUCAAAAAAGUCAAGACAAUGGCCACAACCAUCUCAUAGAAGCCCUAUCCUAUUUUGCAUGUGUAUUCACAGUCCCUAUCCUUUUUUUUAAUUACCUCACUUGUCCCUAAAUUGCCUCUGCUUCUAAAUCCAGAAAUGAUGCUGAUUCCAGCAAAUUAUAGCAAAUAAUUUCAUUUUUCCUAUGCUUUUAAGUAAAUGAACUACCCUAUUUUUCACUCCAUAAGAUGCACUCUCCACCCUGCAAAUAUGACUGGAAAUGUCUGUGUAUCUUAUGGAACGAAAAAUAUGGGCUGUGGCGGUGGGGUCCUUUUACAGUGCUGAACCUCACUUCUUCUGUCUUUAUCAUUGCCUGUUUUCCUCCUCUAAACCUAGGUGCGUCUUAUGGUCAGGUGUGUCUUAAUAGUGCAAAAAAAUAUGGUAAUAGUUCCUAGAUUGCUAUGGGUCAGAACACAAAUAUUCUUAAAACUGCACAUUUCCCAAAAUAGUUUGCAAGCAUUUAAUCUCUCCAGAACUCUACACUGGUUGCAAAGGG